GAGGCUGAGGUGGGAGGAUUACCUGAGCCCAGGGGAUUGAGGCUGAAGUGAGCCAUGAUCUCACCACUGCCCUCCAUUCUGGGCAACAGAGUGAGACCCUGUCUCAAACAAACAAACAAAAAAGCCAAAAAAACAAACAAAGAAAAACCCUCAUGUUUCACUACAGCGCUAAUUGCUAAGUGUUUAGUCACUCAUUCAUCAGCUAGCAUCCUACAUGUGGUACGUUGUCAGUAGCCUAUGGCAGAGGUAGUAUCACCAGAGACAGUGGCCAGCUUUAGAAAGAGUGCUAGCCUGGGUACUAGCCCUAGUCUACACUCUCUAGGAAAACUAAGACAAUCCUGCCAUAUGUGUAAGAUUUCCAUCAUUUAUAGGAUUUUCUUCCAAAUAUUCUUCUCCUGGUGCUGAAGCCUAAACCAUCCCCAUAAGCAUGAUGUUCUCAUAUUCUGAAAAUGGUUCCCUGAACACACUUUGCCACAGCUGAUUCCAAUUCUCUCUCUCUUUCUCCUCUCUCUCUCUCUCUCUCUCUCUCUCUCUAUAAUCAAAAGCAUUUAUGGAGUUCUGCAAGCCCAAGUGUCCAGGCUGAUCAAAUACCCCAGCAUGAGAAUAAUGCUCUGAAUGAUGUGAAAAAGUUCUUUUUCUGAAAACAAUUUAGAACAUAUUGGAAGGCAUGCCAGUUGUGUUUUUAAGCCACACAAUGAUAUUAUCAAAGCUGCUGCAGCAGGCCACUGAUUGCCCUCACCCACCACCCCAGAUCCAUUCUCUCUUCAUAGUCUUCAUUAUGACCAAAAGACGAAGAAGGAGGAAGUAAGUGUUAGGGUGAAGAGUGCAUGUGGGGAAACAUUUCACUAGCCCUAUAGUCCAUUCUGUAAUCCAGAAUGGAUUCCAUUUGUGUCUAAAGGACACUGCAGGUGUGUUAUCUGCCUUCAUUGUUCGCUGGAUCUCUGCCACAUGCUCCAUUGUCACUUCCCCAGGCUGUUCAUCACCAGCAGCGAAGCUCUGUGGGAGAGCCAUUUGCAGCCUGGAGUUAUUUACCCCCACUGGGGUUCCUUCAGUUUGGCAUCUCCAUUCAGUAUUGCAAGGGCCUGGCCACCAAGGAACAAAGGAUCUCAAGUAGAAUCAAAGGGUAAGAGAAAAGGGAAUGUUGCAGAUACACUUCAAUUUCUUUCUUUCUUUCACCUUGACAUAUUGAUCAUCUUUUUGCCUUUUCCAAGAACAGAUGGCAGUUGCCUCAAUGCCAAAGGUGACAGAGCAGGUAGUGAAGCUUCUGUAAAUGCUCAAGGCGGCUACAAAAUUAAGCCCUGUCCAGGUCCUACCUACCUGCUAGUGGAGUCCCCUAGGAUGCACAGGGAAGGGUGUGGGAAGGGGCAGAGCUUUCACCUGAGCAGCACACACACAUCACAGCCUGAUUCUGGGAGGAACAAGGCCACUCUCUGCCCCUCUUCUACCUCUCAAGUCUCCAACAGCCUGGUGGGGAGACGGGGCACCAUGGGGGCCUCCUCUGCAUGUUGCUGAUCGCACAGAACAGGACAAUCCCUCUCUUGUCUUACUCUGCAUGGCAAGUCAGGCUGAUGCUCCCCAAAUCUCUCCUAUCUGUUGCAGAGGGGCUAUAAGGAACGCAGGACGGGGAUAAUGAGACUUAGGGAAGACCCAGUUCUAACCCCUUCCCUUACUCUUCAUCUCUUUGCAGGGUACCCAUACACUAAAGAGAAACUAGCCAUUGACAGCAGUGGCCAGAAGUCAUUUAGUUUAAUCUUUUAUGUUUUAAUCAUAUAUAUAACUUUUAAGGAAUAACUUUUCCCUAUUUUACAAAUUUAAUUUUAUAAUUUUAUAUUUAUAGGAUUUUAAAGCUAAUUUCUUAUAUCAGAAAAUACUACUAAGGUUAUCAUAAGAAUUAUUUAUUGUUUAUCUUAUUGGAUAACAGUCAUUCUUUAAGUAUUGCAUACACUAUUUUGCUUUUUCGAGAACGGAGUCUUGCUCUGUCGCCCAGGCCGGAGUGCAAUGGCUCUAUCUCGGCUCACUGCAACCUCCGCCUCCCGGGCUCAAGCGAUUCUACUGCCUCAGCCUCCUGAGCAGCUGGGAUUACAGGUGCCCACCACCACGCCCGGCUAAUUUUUAUAUUUUUGGUAGAGAUGGUGUUUCACCAUGUUGGCCAGGAUGGUCUCGAACUCCUGACCUUGUGAUCUGCCCACCUCUGCCUCCCAAAGUGCUGGGACUGCAGGCAUGAGCCACCAUGCCCGGCCUGCAUACUCUAUUUUAUUGUCCUUACCAGCUCAUUCAAAAUUUCUGUUUAUCUCUUUUCACAUUGGAAACAGAAGGUGGUGUCUUUAGAGAUACCAGCGUGUGCCUCAAACCUGGAGAUAUACGUUCUCUCUGCCAGUUUGCCUUAAACAGGUCUUUUUUCAUACUUUAAAACAGAUUACCAUGGUGAUCUCAAUUAAGAUCUAACUGUAGUCAGACAGGAAAAACUGAAGGCUGCAUUUUGAACCAUUCAGGUUACUUAGGAGAUGCUAAGAUCAAAUAACCCCAAAUAAAAUCCAUGGAAACCAUUCAAAUGAUGCUGCUAUCUUGUUCUCAAGAUCAUUAUGUCUCUGUUUGGAGAUUGUCUUAUCUAGCCAGACCAAAUUUCCAUCAUAAUAGUCUGGAAAUAAAACCUGGAGAAGGGAUGAAAUGAGGCAAAGAAAAGAAUAGCAAACAGAAAUGGGAAUUUCAUUCUCGAUAAUGGACAGGUCUCUAGCCACUCACUGGCUUUGCGGCUGCCAAGCCAAGACCCUCACUCAGAUUGUCAAAGUGGCAGGGAACCCGGGCUGGUUGUAGAAGAGGCCCUCAGCAUCCAUGGCCCAUCUUGCCCAACAGAGCUCAGACUGCUCCUUUAAAAUUAAAGAUGGCUGGGCGCGGUGGCUCACAGCUGUAAUCCCAGCAUUUUGGGAGGCUGAGGAGAGAGGACUGCUUGAGCCCAGGAGUCAGAGGCUGCAGUAAGCUGGGAUAGCACCACUGCACUCCAGCCUUGGUGACAGAGGGAGGGAGACCCUAUCCCUUAAAAAAAAAAAAUAGAGCCUUAGAAAGAGUAGUGAUUCGUAAGGAGAAGCGUGAAUGCAUUUCUUCAUGUUCCCUCUAAAAGAACAGACAACUGCCCUUAUACUGGCUGCCUUCUGAGUCUUUGGGGGGUUUGGCAAUUAAAAGCGAUUUUGCAAAAUCUGAGCACCCAUGUUGAAAAUGAGCUUAAGCACAAACUAAUUCAUCACUUAGUGAGAUAAAUACAUAACUCAUAAAUUUUUCAUUAUAUGAGUGAGAGUUCCAUUUUUUUAAACUAGCUUUUUGCCAUGUUCACAAAUCUUGAUUAAAGAAUCCUCUGAGUAUUAUAAGAUAGAAACGUCUUUAUUUUUUGAAUGGGCCUUACUACUGGCCUUCAAAGUUCUGGAGCACAAAUAAAGAGUCCCCCAGAUAGAAUUCUGAGUUCAUGAGGUUUAUUUCUGUUGGGUGUGCUACAUGUUACAGAUACUCCCAUUAUUGGGAAGCUGGUGACCUUUUGGCUAGAGAAUGUCUUGACACUCUAGGGUACUCAUUACUGGCAGACUUGAUUUGCUCUUGAAAGAAAUCACAAAGGCAUGACACCUCUUCCCUUUCCACUUCUCCUCACCCAGACCCCAAAGAGGAACUGAAAGAGGAACACGCGCUGUUAGAGUAGAGAUGGACCAGUGAGCACGUGUGCAGGCCUCGAUACUCGCCUACAAUACCUGUAUGUACUCUACAUUCUCUAGCCUCAAACCAGUGUCCUCAAGUCAUGAUAUCUGUUCUCUGUCUUCAUUACUCAAGACCAAGCAGUUAAGGUACUUCACAAACAGGGAUACCUGCCAUUUAACUGAAUCACAACAGGAGUUGAUAUGACUGAGCUCUUCCUGUGUGCCAAACCCUAUUCAAAGUAUGCUCCAGCUGUCUCAAGAGAAGUUAAUUUGCCAACAGUGACACAGCUAAUAAGUGGUCAAGCUGUGACAUGAACACCAGCAGUAUUACUCUAGAACCCAGAUGCUUUUCAUCUUUAUGCCAUUCCUUCUGCCUUAACUUUAUCUCAAUUUCUUCUACCUUAUGUAAAAGGAUGUUGUGAGGAUUCAAAAAAUAAUAGGAGAAUACUUGAUACAGUGCCUCUCAAUGGCCUGUUAGUUGCUAUGGCUAGUUGAGAGUUUGCUCAGUCACAGGGCUAAGUGGCUGAACUAGGACCCCCACCCUAGAGCCUGUUCCCAGAGUUCCCUCUAACACCAACCCCUCCUGCUGCUCUGUGUCAGUGACAGCACAGAUAACACACCAGCACAGUUGCUGGCAAUAAUUGAGCACUUGGGAGAUGUCAAGCUUGUUCUUCUCCCACAUCUCCCUCCUUCUCCUCACUGAAAGACAGAGGCACAGAAACAUUCUUAUAUAAGGUAAUGAGCAACUUCGAAAAGAGAAGCUUGAUUCAAUUGCACUUUAUACUUCCUUUCUCACUUUUCAUGCAAGAUGGAAAGUAACGUCCAUGAAAUAGAAGACACGAUUUUUAAAAAUGUAUUCAUGUAUUUGGGCAACAGAGUGAGACUCUGUCUCAAAAUAUAUAUAUAUAUAUAUAUAUAUAUAUGUCCAUGUAUUUGACUUCUUUUUCCUCCCCCAUUAUUGACAUGCUUCAUGCUAUUGAAACUGUCAGGACAGAAUGUAUCCUUAGUCAGUCAUGACGCCUCAUGUGCCUCGUGUCAAACAUAACGCAUAGAUUACUCACACACCGACAAUGCCAUACGUUAAGCACACUGUGCGUUUAAUUGUGCAAUGGCAUUUGCUGUAAGGAUGACCAUUCAGGUUUCAGUUUUGAAGGAAGUUGGCAAUUACUUGCUAUCUCUUUAGCAAUAGAAUAGUGCACUUUUUGCUUUUUCUCCUUAAGAAAUCUUGUACUGUACAAAUUGUGGAACACAGUCAUCUGACUUUGUCCUCUGUUUUUCUCCUUGUAUGAAUGCUAUGAAGUUAUCUUUCUUUUCUUUCCUUUUUUUUUUUUUUGAGACAGGGUCUCACUCUCAUCACCCAGGCUGUAGUGCAGAGGUACAAUCAUGGCUCACUGUAGCCUCAGCUUCCCAGGCUCAGGUGAUCCUCCCGCUUCGCCUCCCACGUAGCUGGCACUACAGGUGCAUGCCAUUACACCCAGCUAAUUUUUUAUAUUUUUAGUAGAGAUGUGAUUUUGCCAUGUUUUCCAGGCUGAUCUGCAACUCCUGAUGCUUGAACUCAAGCAAUCCGCCUGCCUUGGCCUCCCAAAGUGUUGGGGUUAUAGGCAUGAGCCACUGUGCCUGGCUCCCCAGAGUUAUCUUUCAAAUUAUGAGGAGAUCACGCUUCCCCUCUUGGCUUUU
rnacentral:lncRNA from 1 species